rnacentral:misc_RNA from 1 species
CGUUCAAACAGAGCAGACGGCUAGUAGCGGAAACUACAUCGUAUUGUCGCGUUGCUCACAGAUUAAGAUCGUGAAAUAUUUGAUUAUUUCCUAUCAAUUGGUGUCGAUUCACUAUUUUUUAUACUAUUUUCCACGUACGGAGAGAACGUGCAAUAAAAAUUUUUAAUAUGGAAAACGUAUACUUAUAAAAGUAGCUUACAUUAGAUGUAACAUAGCCGUUGCGAAUAACGCGUAAAAUUGAUAGUACAAUUUUCGAUUUCUCCUCGUUGCUGUUGCUUGCUCUAGAACGGUGAAUGUCGAACGGAUCGUAGCUUCGUGCAAUCGCGUUUCUCGAGUUAUUCUUUUACCAUAAUGAGAUAAAAUACGCGCCGGGAGUGCCAUACAAUAUCGCGCGAUUGUAAUUCAUUAUAUUUUCUCGAGUGUUUUGUGCCAUGAAGGAGCAGUUAUCGAUAAACUGUCUAGGGAUGGAGGAAGCCUGGAGGGCAUCAGGCAUCGGCGGAACAACUUUAAAAUCAAUGUAAACCACAACUCCGCUGUUGCGCAUCAUGUGCUGGCUAGCUUUGCAGAUCAACAGAACAACUCCGCUACUACGCAUCGAUCGAUUUGUUUCCUAUCCGAAGUAUUAAGUGUACUUCGAAGAGAAUCGUAUCGGCAGACGAACGACGCGUAAACGCGACAUCUUUGAACUGUACGGUGCGGAAUUUCCGACAUGUUUGUAUGCGGUAAGCAACGACCUCGAUGUCGAUAUACGCGUACGGCGAUGUGUUGACGUUGGUCUAGCACCGCCGCGCACUGUUUAGGUAUCGGUCGCGCCGUUGCGCUUGCGGGUUAAUUAUUCAUAUAGUAAUUUGGUCCCAUUGUCGUGCACUUAAUGGGCUUGGCCGUUUAAUAAAGGGAUUCAUUCAGCUACGGAGGACUUCGCUGCCUACAGGCGGACCCUUUGGUAAUCGACGUUUGCUCACCUUCCAAUGGAACAAUCACAGGUUGGAAAGGUGCCAAGCCAUAUAUUAAAUAUGUAAAAAAAAUACUAGAACUCUUCCACUUCGAAAAGAAACUCAUGGCAUACAGAACGGUUGCUCGUUCGGGCAAGCUGAUCGGAAAAGCCGAAUGUAUCACGCGUGAAACACGAUACCGAAAUUCGAGAUUUCAACCUCGAAAUUGGUUCGAUGUAGCACGAUAUAUGUGCACGCACAUAUCCAUUCGUUACAGAAAUAUGUUUUGUUGUUCCUGCUUUAAGUUUUGAAUACGGAUUUUAAUAUAUAAGUACUGCGGCGGGCGAAACGAAAGCAAGUAAAGGACUUUGACUGUUAAUGCUCAGAAGAUGGGAAGCACUCAGAGAUAAGAAGGUAAACAGAGACACGGUUCGCGGAUCUGCUGCAGAUCUGAACAGAGUCCAAGAUGCACUCUUGUAAACAGCAUCUCGAUCCUUGGAACCACAACUCAGCAGCUACGGCAGGUUUACACGUAGCUAGUAGAGAGAGAGCGGCAAGUCAAGUGGUUUAGUGAUUUGCUGAACACAUCUACUUAUCUAAAAUUAGUGACUGUUCCUGUUUCUACUACACAACGUUUUAACAAAUUUUGGUCUUAUUAUAAUGCCGACAAAUUGGAGUAAUGAGUUUGCGUAUGCUGUAAUACCUUUGGAAUGCUUUGACGGAUUUUGGAUGAGAAUUUUGUUACCCUCAAAAAGGAUGACGUACUAAAAAUUGCAGUCGUUUCACGUAAGCUUUUAGAAGUCAAUGCGGCUUACGAUGUUUUUUACACAUUCAAUCAAGGGUAACGUUUUUUUUCAAAAUUCAAACGCAAAGGCUUUUCAAAAAAGAGGCAUUACCGAGCCGUGCGAGAAGAGCUGAGAGAAGUGGAUGUUGCCGAAGAGAGAAAAAUCGUUCCACUUUGAUAAGUGGCGAGUCCACGAGCCUAACAUUCGAAAGUCGAAAGAUUUAGGGAUGGUCACCCUCUUCGGCGACACCGCAGUCUCGCAUUUUCUAAUCCUCUCCGCUCCUCUCUGUCCGCGGGAUAAGGCGCGGGCGGGAUCUCUUAUUUUCUCGAGCGUAAAUCACGCGACAGACGUUCCAGUUUGUACGAGAGGGCUAACGUGUGCGAGCAAGGAGGAAGAAGGGUUGCGUGAGAGAGACGGAGCGCGACCGAAAUUGGAGUAAUCGCGUCGGAUAAGUGGCGGUGAGCGUGUGCGCGGGACGGAGAUAGGGAGAGUCGAGGAGAUUUGCAUAUCUCACGAAAGGAAUAAUCGAUGCCACUUAAUGUACCCUCUCUCACGAGCAACGAGCUAAGCCCGGAGAUCGCUUCUGAGGUAUUCCAAGCGGACAGCAAUAAGCCGGAAUGAGGCGGGCACACUGUGUCGUUUAAAUGAUAAACAGCGACGUGAAAGCAGAUAUAAUUGUGAGAAUGGCUUAGGGAAGCAAAUGAAAAGGAUAUUUGCCGACAAGGAUAAAGCUUUUUUGUUUUAUACCGGUCAACGAACAAAGCGAGUCGCAAAAGCAAACCGAGCCAAGAACAAUUUUGCUAUGUUAAUCGCGCAGAUGUAUUCGAUAUCGUUGUUCUUAACUGCAAUGUCGAUACUCAGUUAACGAUACCGUCAAGAAUUCAGUUUGGAAGCCGGAUAUCCGGACAUCUUUGCGAUCGAGCCAAAACGGAAAGGCGAGAAUGGCGGUGGAAGACGAAAGAAUCGAAACAACUUCAGAAGUAUCAAGGGAGUAGAGCAGAAGUCCAGCAAAGGGUCGAAGUUGCGAGGUCGAGAGGGAAGACAAAAGCCGCAUGAUACACACUAUUCGGCGGCGACGCAUUGGAACGUCCGAGCACGUUUGCACGAUAUUUUGCCGAAAAUUAAAUUCAUAAGACAAGGCACCAAUCGCGUAUUCAUUGGGCAGAUCGCCAGUCGAGGGGGACGUUUUUCUGAAAGCCGCCUCUCAAUAAUCGCAUCCGACGUGCCAAGACCGAACGCUCAACUCGACGGAGUUUGUAUUCUGCGGAUAUGAAUGCGGCGCCUCCAAGAAUUCGUAAACAAUUCGGGGAGUACACGCGCGUUGAUCGUAUUGGAUUAUGAUUAACCCUUUCGGAAUAAGUUGCUGUAUUUCGUCGAAGAGCACUAAUUGGCUUGUAAUAAAUGAACUAAAAUAUAUUGUAAAAUUAAUUAUCGCUCAUGAAGAUUGUAUUUCUGAUAUCUUUGAUUAUUUUGUGGUUUCUUUAAUUGAAAAUAUCACUGAAUCAUUCUGAAUCAAAUUAAUAGUUUUAAUUUGUAAGAAAUAUAUGAGAUUUGUGAAUAUUCGGAAAUUUUUAAUAAAAGAUGAAAGUUUUAGAAUUGAAAUGGAAAUGGACAUUCUAAAAAAUUAAGAAUAAAUGCGAUAAAAUAUUUUACGUGUCAAAUAUGACAUUGACUAAUUUGGAACUUUAAAAUGAUUUAUUAUAAUUAUUUUACGUGAACUAUUGAAUCAAUAUACGUUAAUAAUAUUUGGAAAAGACAUAUAAAAUUUAUGAUAUAU